rnacentral:rRNA from 1 species
CCUACGGGUGGCAGCAGUAGGGAAUCUUCGGCAAUGGGGGCAACCCUGAUGCAGCGACGCCGCGUGAGUGAAGAAGUAUCUCGGUACGUAAAGCUCUAUCAGCAGGGAAGAAAAUGACGGUACCUGACUAAGAAUCCCCGGGUAACUACGUUCCAGCAGCCGCGGUAAUACGUGGGGGCCAGCGUUACCCGGAUUUUCCGGGGGUAAAGGGAGAGUAGACGGCAGGACAAGUCUGGAGUGAAGACCCGGGGCUUAACCCCGGAACUGCUUUGGAAACUGUGCGGCUGGAGUGCAGGAGGGGUAAGCGGAAUUCGUAGUGUAGCGGUGAAAUGCGUAGAUAUUAGGAGGAACACCGGUGGCGAAGGCGGCUUACUGGACUGUAACUGACGUUGAGGCUCGAAAGCGUGGGGAGCAAACAGGAUUAGAUACCCCAGUAGUC